rnacentral:misc_RNA from 1 species
AAGUCGUAACAAGGUAACCGUAGGUGAACCUGCGGUUGGAUCAUUACCAAAUAUCCAUGGGAGCUUCGGCUCCCUACCCACCCAACCUGUGCAAUGUACUGUCUUUGGCGGGCUGACCCUCUCUCCUAUUGCCCCCCCUCACCGGGGUGUGAUGGGGGGGAGUGUGCCACUUGCGGGACGGGCGCCAAGUCGCGCCCCUCCGACCGUCAAUACCUUACUAUACACGACCCUACUCUACUACGCACCUGACGUUUAAUUAUGCGCGGGCUGGCGCUUGCCGGCUCUGUGCGAUAACAUAAUCAAACAACAACUUUUGACAACGGAUCUCUUGGCUCUC